UAACGGCCGCGGUAUCCUAACCGUGCAAAGGUAGCAUAAUCACUUGCUCAUUAAUUGUGGGCUAGAAUGAAAGGACUAACGAAAUAUAAUCUGUCUCUAUAAAUAAGAUAAAAAUUAAUCUCCAAAUGAAGAAUUUUGGAUUUUAUUGAAGGACAAGAAGACCCUAUAGAGCUUUAAAGAUUCAGUUGGGGCGACUAGGGAAUAUGAUAUAUUUAUCUAAUUAAUGACCCUAGAUCAUAAGAAUAAGCUACCUUAGGGAUAACAGGCUAAUCCUACUAAAGAGUCCUUAUCUAAAGUAGGGAUUGGCACCUCGAUGUUGGCUUAGGGAAUCUAUCUAACGCAAAAGUUAUAUAAAGAUGGUUUGUUCA
rnacentral:rRNA from 1 species